CGUUAUAUUUCUUCAUGCCUGGCAUAUAGCAGGUCCUCAAUAAGUAUUUGUUGAAAAAAUAAAUGAAGCAACAAAUCUUAUUUGAGCACCUGUUAUGUGGAGGAUAAAAAACUACAAACCAAA
rnacentral:precursor_RNA from 7 species